rnacentral:lncRNA from 1 species
GGGCAGCUGGGUAGCUCAGUGGAUUGAGAGUCAGUUCUAGAGAAGAGAUAUCCUGGGUUCAAAUCUGGCCUUAGACACUUCCCAGUUGUGUGACCCUGGGCAAGUCACUUAACCCCCACUGCCUAGCCCUUACCACUCUUCGGCCUUGGAACCAAUACAUAGUACUGAUUCUAAGGUAAAAGGUAAGGGUUUAAAAAAUAAUAGCUUCUAUUUCUGUAUUCUUUUAAGAUAUUCAAAGAGGUCCCCCCAAAAGAGUCCCCCCCAUAGUAACUCUGUGAAGUAACCUAUGUAAACAUUAUGUUCUUUUUAGGGAAAAGAGAGCUGAAGCUCAGAAAUGUUGUGACUUAUCCAAGAUAGUACAACAACUAAGGGUCAGAGCCUAGAACUCUUCAUGCCCUCUGACUCCAAGCCCAACUCCAUACCUACACUGAGCACCUCCUCUGGGUCCAGUGGAAUGAGCCAUGUAAAGAUGAAUGAAACAUGCCUCCUGCCCUCAGACAGUUCAUUGCAAGAGACACAGAUAACCUGAGUCUGGAUAUGAGAAAUACCACGGGAAAGGCACAAAGAGCCAUGAUCUCAGAUGGCAUCAUUUUGAUCUCCUUAUGUCUAGGACCUCUACAGUGCCUCUUAAUUGAGCUCUAGAGCCAUUCAAGAGAUCAGCCUAACAAUUCACUCAGGAAAAACCAAGUGGAUGAAGAAUACAUAUUGGCCAGGUCACCACAUGCCACAGAUGGGCAAUCCAUUGAUGUAACCCAGUAGUUACUAAUCUUGACUAGGCAUUAAAGAUUUAAGGGGGAGAGUGGGCUGCAUUAUAUUUAGGAAAUAACAAUGCUAUUAGUGAUCUUAAACUCCUCCUUUUUUCUACCAUGUCUUUUAAACACCAGCAUUCUCUCAGAGUCCAGCACACACCUUAGCAAGAAUCUCCUCUGCAAUGUCCCUGACAAGUGACAUUGUUUAUUGAAGACCUUUAUUGAAGACCCCCCGUAAUGGGAAGCUCACUACUUUCCAAGGUUACCUAUUCCCAUCAUUAGAUAGCUCUGAGUGUGAGGUAGCAAUUUCUUGAGCUGAGCAAAGACUGGACUCUCUGUGACUUCCUGUGAUGCUCAUCAAGUUAUCAAAUCCACUAAGAUAAGUUAAACCAAAGAGUGAAUUCCCUGGACUUGGUUGACUUUCAGGCUCAG